CCCUCUUCUCCGCCUCCCCCUCUCUCUGCUCCCCCUCUCUCUCAUAUCCCAGCUCCUCUUCUCUGCCUCCCUCUCUCUCAUCUUCAAAUUGUUUUGGUUUAAUGGAGGACAGAGGAACUAGAUCUGUUUUCUCUCUCCUCCGACACCCACUUCCGGUCACCACCGUGACUCACCUCCACCAUCACAGACCUCACCGACCUCUGACGAGUUUAACGCAGCCUCCUUGACUUCCGGCAACAACCCGUGAAGGACCCUGUGCUUUUUCUCAAACCGACGUCGUCUUACUUGGAAAACGGAGGCAGUACUCCUGGGCUCGAUAUCGAAGUACUCCCUGAAUCAGAAGUUUAUAAAUCCACGGAAUGGAUAUUAAGUCUGAUCAUGCAGAUUUUGUAGUAUUAUGUGAUCUAAGUUUGGAAUUGGGGGAUAGCAGUUUGAGCAUCAAGUAAAUAUAACUGAUAACACUGCCGGGAUUCUUGCCGAUUAUUAGACUUUAUAGGUAACUUUGUAUGAUUAUACAUUAUAUUGUGUAAAUCUUAGCCAAAAUAUCCAUCUAAAGACAAUAAAAGAAUGAACUAAAGAAAAUGUACCAGUGCAACAUAAGACUUUUUAUUUUCUGAUGAAAGGGAAGUAUAUGGACAUAUAAGAUGCCUGUGAAUCCCUCAUUUUGCUGCUUUAGAUUUAGUGAAGAUAUAUGAUCUAUCUGUAAGUAGGGAAUUGUGAGUACAAAUGACCAAUAGAACACUAGAACAGUAACUAUGCAUAACAAAAUAAUAUUAUGCAGAUAACCAUUUCUUCGGGCAGAAAUAUUUCCUGGAUUUCAGUGCUAUAAUUGUGUCAUUUCCUUCAUGUAUUCAUAUCUCGGUAUGAUUCCUGUUAAUUCAUUUCAUUGCCAGGUAUCAAAGACAUAUCGAGAAGAAAAAAUGUUACAAGAAGCAUAUGUAUAAUGUAUUCAUUGUAAAGGCUAAAGUCGGACUGAGUGCUUUUGUACAGGCAGUAGGAAUCGGUAAAGGGAAGCAAGAUCUAACAGGCAUUUCCAUGGAGUCUUCAAACUAAAAUCAAGUUCUUCCUGUUUUUGUUGCUUCUUGUUGCUUACCUACUUCUGCUUUCUACUGCAGUGCUUCGGAAAAGACCGGCUCCUUUAGCUCACGGUACCCCUUUGGCGAAUUCCGUGGUUUAGUUUCUCCAGAGUUGAAGGAUGGAAUCUCAAUUGUCACCAACUUGAUGAGGAAAAAGAUUAUGAAAGCGAAGUUCAGACUUCCUCCACUCUCAGAUGCAACACCAGCACCUCAACACACCCGCUCAUUGUUUUUAGGAAGUUUCUUUUGCACAUGUGGUGAAGGAACUAAUGUCCAUAAAUAGCUUCUAGGAUAUUGUAUUUCCUUUUCGAUUUGCAAUUAAGAAACUAUUUGUAUAUGAUGACUCUAUGAAUAUAAGUUCGCAUAUUCUUUUCUUAA